rnacentral:rRNA from 1 species
UACGAAGGGGGCGAGCGUUGUUCGGAUUUACUGGGCGUAAAGGGCGCGUAGGCGGCCCUUCAAGUCAGGCGUGAAAGCCCCGGGCUCAACCUGGGAGGUGCGCUUGGGACUGGAGGGCUGGAGUUCGGGAGAGGAGCGUGGAAUUCCCAGUGUAGAGGUGAAAUUCGUAGAUAUUGGGAAGAACACCGGUGGCGAAGGCGGCGCUCUGGACCGAGACUGACGCUGAGGCGCGAAAGCGUGGGGGAGCAAACAGG